AGCCUCCUGCUUGUUUAUCUCAUCACCCUGUGACAUACCUAAAACGUUGCUUCGGCGGGAACAGACGGCCCCGUAACACGGGCCGCCCCCGCCAGAGGACCCCCUAACUCUGUUUCUAUUAUGUUUCUUCUGAGUAAAACAAGCAAAUAAAUUAAAACUUUCAACAACGGAUCUCUUGGCUCUGGCAUCGAUGAAGAACGCAGCGAAAUGCGAUAAGUAAUGUGAAUUGCAGAAUUCAGUGAAUCAUCGAAUCUUUGAACGCACAUUGCGCCCGCCAGUAUUCUGGCGGGCAUGCCUGUUCGAGCGUCAUUACAACCCUCAGGCCCCCGGGCCUGGCGUUGGGGAUCGGCGAGGCGCCCCCUGCGGGCACACGCCGUCCCCCAAAUACAGUGGCGGUCCCGCCGCAGCUUCCAUUGCGUAGUAGCUAACACCUCGCAACUGGAGAGCGGCGCGGCCACGCCGUAAAACACCCAACUUCUGAAUGUUGACCUCGAAUCAGGUAGGAAUACCCGCUGAACUUAAGCAUAUCAAAUAAGCGGAGGAA
rnacentral:rRNA from 1 species